UGGUUUCUUCAACUGUUGUUGUUCCACCUGUGGUAGGUUUAGUUGUUGUGGGUACAAUUGUAGUUGUUGUUAAAGUAGUGGGAUUGGAUGUUAUCACUACUGGACCUGUUGUUUCUUCACCUGUUGUUAUGGGCUGAGAUGUUGAGGUAGAGGUUUCAACAAUUACAGUGGUGGAAGUGGUUGUUGGGCCGGUGGUUUCUUCAAUUGUUGUUGUUCCACUUGUGGUAGGUGUAGUUGUUGUGGGUACAUUUGUAGUUGUUGUUAAAGUAGUAGGAUUCGAAGUUAGGACAACUGGCCCUGUUGUUUCUACACCUGUUGUUGUAGGCUGAGAUGUUGAGGUAGAGGUUUCAACAAUUACAGUGGUGGAAGUGGUUGUUGGGCCGGUGGUGACUUCUUUAGGUGGCUUUGUGGAUGCAGAUGAAAUUGACUCAGUUGUGGUUUCUUCAACUGUUGUUGUUCCACCUGUGGUAGGUGUAGUUGUUGUGGGUACAUUUGUAGUUGCUGUUAAAGUUGUGGGAUUCGAAGUUAUGACAACUGGCCCUGUUGUUUCUUCACCUGUUGUUGUAGGCUGAGAUGUUGAGGUAGAGGUUUCAACAAUUACAGUGGUGGAAGUGGUUGUUGGGCCGGUGGUGACUUCUUUAGGUGGCUUUGUGGAUGCAGAUGAAAUUGACUCAGUUGUGGUUUCUUCAACUGUUGUUGUUCCACCUGUGGUAGGUGUAGUUGUUGUGGGUACAUUUGUAGUUGCUGUUAAAGUUGUGGGAUUCGAAGUUAUGACAACUGGCCCUGUUGUUUCUUCACCUGUUGUUGUAGGCUGAGAUGUUGAGGUAGAGGUUUCAACAAUUACAGUGGUGGAAGUGGUUGUUGGGCCGGUGGUGACUUCUUUAGGUGGCUUUGUGGAUGCAGAUGAAAUUGUCUCAGUUGUGGUUUCUUCAAUUGUUGUUGUUCCACCUGUGGUAGGUUUAGUUGUUGUGGGUACAUUUGUAGUUGUUGUUAAAGUUGUGGGAUUCGAAGUUAUGACAACUGGCCCUGUUGUUUCUACACCUGUUGUUGUGGGCUGAGAUGUUGAGGUAGAGGUUUCAACAAUUACAGUGGUGGAAGUGGUUGUUGGGCCGGUGGUGACUUCUUUAGGUGGCUUUGUGGAGGUGGAUGGACUUGUCUCAGUUGUGGUUUCUUCAACUGUUGUUGUUCCACCUGUGGUAGGUUUAGUUGUUGUGGGUACAAUUGUAGUUGUUGUUAAAGUAGUGGGAUUGGAUGUUAUCACUACUGGACCUGUUGUUUCUUCACCUGUUGUUAUGGGCUGAGAUGUUGAGGUAGAUGUUUCAACAUUUACAGUGGUGGAAGUGGUUGUUGGGCCGGUGGUGACUUCUUUAGGUGGCUUUGUGGAGGUAGAUGAAAUUGUCUCAGUUGUGCUUUCUUCAAUUGUCGUUGUUCCACCUGUGGUAGGUGUAGUUGUUGUGGGUACACUUGUAGUUGUUGUUAAAGUAGUGGGAUUGGAAGUUAUGACAACUGGCCCUGUUGUUUCUUCACCUGUUGCUGUGGGCUGUGAUGUUGAGGUAGAUGUUUCAACAAUUACAGUGGUGGAAGUGGUUGUUGGACUGGUGGAAACUUCUUUCGGUGGCUUUGUGGAGGUGGAUGGACUUGUCUCAGUUGUGGUUUCUUCAACUGUUGU